AUCCAGCUGAUGAGUCUGAAAUGGGACGAAACGUGCAUCCUGAAU
rnacentral:hammerhead_ribozyme from 1 species